AUUUCUUGUCGGUUGUAAAAUUAUUAAUUCGCGCAAAUUAAAAGUUCAGACACCUUAACUAAAUUUUCAGACCCACAUGUUUUAAACGUUAUAAAUAGUGUCUGACAAUGAAAGGUAAAUACAGUCUUUCCCCAACAAUAGCCGUUGUAAGAUGUCAGUUCCUAAAAUAUGUACCAGACGCGCAAAAAAAGUUAAAUAUAUGCAGCGUUUAACCACCUUUUUCAGUAUCUAUUUUGGAAAGGUUCCUCUAAAUAUACCUCGAAACAUACAUUAUGAAUCGAUAGAUAAUUGAAUGUCAAUUGUCUUGUCACACCAGAAUUUCAGUCCUGUCGCUUGGUUGCACAUUGUAGAAAAUCAUUGUUUUGUACUUACACACAAGGUGGCAUUUAUUCGGAUAGGCAUGACAAUGUGCAGUUAUUUCAAUGAAAGCAAAACAACCAGUUGAAACACUCCAUGGCGGAACCUUAGAUCUGGUAGUCUACGCAAGAGUAUGCCAUCUGCCAGUUUGCGAUUAAUAAGUGAGAAAAUGUCGUUUAUACCAUAGAUGAAUAAAAUAGACAUCUAGAAUAGCCCGGUCGGAUCAACGGUACAUAACUGCUAUGUUUUUGACCCUCUUGUACAUAAGAAACUGGGACAUUGAUUCAGAAA